rnacentral:tRNA from 1 species
ACCUGGGUGGCUCAGUCGGUUAAGCGUCUGACUUCAGCUCAGGUCAUGAUCUCACGGUUCGUGGGUUCGAGCCCCGCAUCGGGCU